UCAGGCCUAACACAUGCAAGUCGAGCGGAUGAAAGGAGCUUGCUCCUGGAUUCAGCGGCGGACGGGUGAGUAAUGCCUAGGAAUCUGCCUGGUAGUGGGGGACAACGUUUCGAAAGGAACGCUAAUACCGCAUACGUCCUACGGGAGAAAGCAGGGGACCUUCGGGCCUUGCGCUAUCAGAUGAGCCUAGGUCGGAUUAGCUAGUUGGUGAGGUAAUGGCUCACCAAGGCGACGAUCCGUAACUGGUCUGAGAGGAUGAUCAGUCACACUGGAACUGAGACACGGUCCAGACUCCUACGGGAGGCAGCAGUGGGGAAUAUUGGACAAUGGGCGAAAGCCUGAUCCAGCCAUGCCGCGUGUGUGAAGAAGGUCUUCGGAUUGUAAAGCACUUUAAGUUGGGAGGAAGGGUUGUAGAUUAAUACUCUGCAAUUUGACGUACCGAC
rnacentral:rRNA from 1 species